GAUAGUGUACGGUUUUUGUUUUUUCGACCAUUUUGGAGUUGAAAUUAUAUUUGUGCAGGUUUUGGAUGCAACUAUUCGUAUGUAUUAUUGUUGAACUCGGUAUGAAUAUAAAAUGAAUGGACUCUAACCGAGCACACUAGGUCAUUCGUCAAUGGAAACAUUAUAUUCAUUAAUUUUUUUUCAUUUUUUUUGUUGUAGUUUACAUUAUUAAAAUUUGAUUUUCAACGAGUUUAUGUAUAAUAUGUAUAAUAUCUUACGCACAUCAUGCGCAUUGUAUACGAUGAUAAUAACG